AUUGAACGCUGGCGGCAGGCCUAAUACAUGCAAGUCGAACGAGUGGCGGACGUGUGCGUAAUGUAUGGGCAACUGCCUGAUGGAGGGGGCUAACUACUGGAAACGGUUGCUAAUACCGCAUACCAUCAGAUGCGCCCAGAUGGGAUUAGCUAGUUGGUGGGGUAACGGCUCACCAAGGCGACGAUCCCUAGCUGGCCUGAGAGGAUGACCAGCCACACUGGAACUGAGACACGGUCCAGACUCCUACGGGAGGCAGCAGUAGGGAAUAUUGCACAAUGGGCGCAAGCCUGAUGCAGCCAGGCCGCGUGUAGGAAGAAGGCCUUCGGGUUGUAAAGUACUUUCGGCAGGGAAGCGUUACCCGCAGAGGAAGCACCGGCUAACUCCGUGCCAGCCGCCGCGGUAAUAC
rnacentral:rRNA from 1 species